UACGGGGGGAGCAAACGUUGUUCGGAAUCACUGGGCGUAAAGGGCGCGUAGGUGGCGCAGCAAGCGUGCGGUGAAAGCUCGGGGCUCAACCCCGAGUCGGCCGUGCGAACUGCUGGGCUCGAGCACUGUAGAGGCAGGCGGAAUUCCGGGUGUAGCGGUGGAAUGCGUAGAGAUCCGGAAGAACACCGGUGGCGAAGGCGGCCUGCUGGGCAGUGGCUGACACUGAGGCGCGACAGCGUGGGGAGCAAACAGG
rnacentral:rRNA from 1 species